CGUGUAGGCGGAGAUGCAAGUCAGAAGUGAAAUCCCGGGGCUCAACCCCGGAACUGCUUUUGAAACUGUAUCCCUUGAGUAUCGGAGAGGCAAGCGGAAUUCCUAGUGUAGCGGUGAAAUGCGUAGAUAUUAGGAGGAACACCAGUGGCGAAGGCGGCUUGCUGGACGACAACUGACGCUGAGGCGCGAAAGCGUGGGGAGCAAACA
rnacentral:rRNA from 1 species